CUCUAAGGCGCUUGAGAGAACUCUGGAGAAGGAACUCGGCAAAUUGACACCGUAACUUCGGAAGAAGGUGUGCCUUUAGUAGGUGAACCCGUACAGGGGGAGCCCAAUGAGGCCGCAGAGAAUCGGUGGCUGCAACUGUUUAUUAAAAACACAGCACUCUGCAAAGACGAAAGUCGACGUAUAGGGUGUGACUCCUGCCCGGUGCUGGAAGAUUAAAUGAUGGGGUGCAAGCUCUUGAUUGAAGUCCCAGUAAACGGCGGCCGUAACGAUAACGGUCCUAAGGUAGCGAAAUUCCUUGUCGGGUAAGUUCCGACCUGCACGAAUGGAGUAAUGAUGGCCACACUGUCACCUCCAGAGACUCAGCGAAGUUGAAAUGUUUGUGAUGAUGCAAUCUCCCCGCGGAAAGACGGAAAGACCCCAUGAACCUUUACUGUAGCUUUACAUUGGACUUUGAACAGAUCUGUGUAGGAUAGGUGGGAGGCUUUGAAGCGGUGCCGCUAGGUAUCGUGGAGCCAACGUUGAAAUACCACCCUGGUGUGUUUGAGGUUCUAACCUUGGCCCGUUAUCCGGGUUGGGGACAGUGUAUGGUGGGCAGUUUGACUGGGGCGGUCUCCUCCCAAAGUGUAACGGAGGAGUUCGAAGGUACGCUAGGCACGGUCGGAAAUCGUGCUGAUAGUGCAUAGGCAUAAGCGUGCUUGACUGCGAGACUGACAAGUCGAGCAGGUACGAAAGUAGGACUAAGUGAUCCGGUGGUUCUGUAUGGAAGGGCCAUCGCUCAACGGAUAAAAGGUACUCUGGGGAUAACAGGCUGAUACCGCCCAAGAGUUCAUAUCGACGGCGGUGUUUGGCACCUCGAUGUCGGCUCAUCUCAUCCUGGGGCUGUAGCCGGUCCCAAGGGUAUGGCUGUUCGCCAUUUAAAGAGGUACGUGAGCUGGGUUUAAAACGUCGUGAGACAGUUUGGUCCCUAUCUUCCGUGGGCGCUGCAAGAUUGAGAGAGCCUGCUCCUAGUACGAGAGGGCCGGAGUGGACGCACCUCUGGUGUAUCGGUUGUCACGCCAGUGGCAUUGCCGAGUAGCUAAGUGCGGAAGAGAUAACCGCUGAAAGCAUCUAAGCGGGAAACUCGUCUCAAGAUGAGUCUUGCCGGGGCCUUGAGCCCCCUGAAGAGUCGUUCGAGACCAGGACGUUGAUAGGUCGGGUGUGGAAGCGCAGUAAUGCGUUAAGCUAACCGAUACUAAUUGCUCGUGAGGCUUGACCCU
rnacentral:rRNA from 1 species